rnacentral:tRNA from 1 species
CCGAGCAUAGCUCAGUUGGUAGAGCGGAAGACUGUAGUGUUCGCAAUCUUUAGGUCACUAGUUCGAAUCUGGUUGCUCGGA